rnacentral:rRNA from 1 species
UCUGGUUGAUCCUGGCGGAGGUCACUGCUAUCGGUGUUCGUCUAAGCCAUGCGAGUCAUAUGUUCUUCGUGAACAUGGCGUACUGCUCAGUAACACGUGGAUAACCUGCCCUUGGGUUCGGCAUAACCCCGGGAAACUGGGGAUAAUACCGGAUAACGCAUAUAUGCUGGAAUUCUUUAUGCGUAAAAUGGAUUCGUCCGCCCAAGGAUGGGUCUGCGGCCUAUCAGGUAGUAGUGGGUGUAAUGUACCUACUAGCCGACGACGGGUACGGGUUGUGAGAGCAAGAGCCCGGAGAUGGAUUCUGAGACAUGAAUCCAGGCCCUACGGGGCGCAGCAGGCGCGAAAACUUUACAAUGCGGGAAACCGUGAUAAGGGGACACCGAGUGCCAGCAUCAUAUGCUGGCUGUCCGGGUGUGUAAAAUACACCUGUUAGCAAGGGCCGGGCAAGACCGGUGCCAGCCGCCGCGGUAACACCGGCGGCCCGAGUGGUGAUCGUGUUUAUUGGGUCUAAAGGGUCCGUAGCCGGUUUGGUCAGUCCUCCGGGAAAUCUGACGGCUUAACCGUUAGGCUUUCGGGGGAUACUGCCAGAUUUGGAACCGGGAGAGGUAAGAGGUACUACAGGGGUAGGAGUGAAAUCUUGUAAUCCCUGUGGGACCACCUGUGGCGAAGGCGUCUUACCAGAACGGGUUCGACGGUGAGGGACGAAAGCUGGGGGCACGAACCGGAUUAGAUACCCGGGUAGUCCCAGCCGUAAACGAUGCUCGCUAGGUGUCAGGCAUGGCGCGACCGUGUCUGGUGCCGCAGGGAAGCCGUGAAGCGAGCCACCUGGGAAGUACGGCCGCAAGGCUGAAACUUAAAGGAAUUGGCGGGGGAGCACAACAACGGGUGGAGCCUGCGGUUUAAUUGGACUCAACGCCGGACAACUCACCGGGGGCGACAGCAAUAUGUAGGUCAGGCUGAAGACCUUGCCGGAAUCGCUGAGAGGAGGUGCAUGGCCGUCGCCAGUUCGUACUGUGAAGCAUCCUGUUAAGUCAGGCAACGAGCGAGACCCA